CAUGUUGCCAAUGGGGUAUUUAUAGGCAAAUGAGGGUGCUCAACCGACCUUAACUCGUGGUUGGUGUUUUUCCACGUGUCUGGCCCUGUUUGGGCGGUUUGGGAGCAAUCUGGGACGUUCUGGAAUUUUCUGGCAGAUUCUGGCAAUGAACCUCGUUUUGGCGUGCUACGGGCCCGUGCGCCCCGCGCCCGCCUGCGCCUCUCUGCCCGCGCCUGGCAGCUUCCAGCAGCGCCUGGAGAAUCCUCGAAGCUUCUGGAAUUCUCGCGCGUCUUUCAGCCCGCGUGAACCUCGUUUCCCCGCGCGGCCAACCAGCAUCGUCCCGUGCGUGCGGCCAACCAGCGUGCUCCUUCUGCGCGCGCGGCCCACCAGCGCGCCCCAUCUGCGCGCUCAGCCCUCCAGCCUCGCGCGGCCUGCCAGCGUGCCCGCUGAACCUCAUCUGCGUCUGGACAUCUCCGGAUGCCCCUGGAACCUUCUCGAAUGUUCCAGCCCCAUUGAACCUCCUUCCAUCUGGCGACGCCUCCUGGCUUCCAGCACCUUCCCCCGUGCUGGGCUGGCCCAAUUGCACCCCGUCGGGCCUGCCACUCGCCAGACUGCCUCCAUUGCCUUCGCCAGCCCGUCUGGCCUGCUGGGCUCCACGCCUGGCCCAGUCUCCAAGUGAACCUCGCUUGCUAGCCCUCCUGGCCCGCAAGUCUGCCUGUUUUCCCCAACAGUGCCAGUCACCUCUGGCACCCACGGGCCCGUUCAACCUGUCUGCUGGCCAAUCUGCCCCAGUUGGCAUUUUCUCCCUGCAACCAGCAGCACAAGCCCGUUGAACCUCAUUUGGGCUGCCACACAGGCCCAAAUGCAGAAUUGGCUCCAACAACCCGUAAAGCCAAUUUUCCUUCCAAUUUUGGGGGUCAUUGGUCCUAUCACCUUUGGACCGUGACAAG
rnacentral:lncRNA from 1 species